rnacentral:rRNA from 1 species
UACGGAGGGAGCUAGCGUUGUUCGGAAUUACUGGGCGUAAAGCGCGCGUAGGCGGCUUCGCAAGUCAGCGGUGAAAGCCCGGGGCUCAACCCCGGAACUGCCUUUGAGACUGCGUCGCUAGAAUCCAGGAGAGGUGAGUGGAAUUCCGAGUGUAGAGGUGAAAUUCGUAGAUAUUCGGAAGAACACCAGUGGCGAAGGCGGCUCACUGGACUGGUAUUGACGCUGAGGUGCGAAAGCGUGGGGAGCAAACAGG